ensembl:lncRNA
AAGAGGUAUCCCCAGAAACAGAGUAAAUUUUUAAUAUUAAUGACAACAUGGUGAAUUCAUCAGGAAGACAGAAGAAUGCCAAAUACGUAUGCAUUUAACAGCGUAGAUUCGCAUUUAAGAAACCUAGGAAAUCCAGGAUGUGGCUGAUUUUGACCAUGGAAGAUAGCAGAAGAAUAUCACAGUAACUGCAUCCCCAGGGGAGAGCUGGAGAGAAGUCAGCAGUGAAAAUUCUAGAAAAAGAAACAGGAUGCCAUGGGGCAGCGUGGACAGUGCAGACACGUGGCAGCGAGUGGGGACACCACUGGUGACCCUUGCGGCUAGGCGCUGGAGAAGAUGCUGUCUUCUUGGAGCAAGGUGAGAGGGGCCUGCGAUUGCCUGUCAUUGGUUGUAUUGGAGAACCUUACAGAUCACAUGGACUUCGCCUGGAGAGCUAGCAGGGGGCAGAGUGCCCACCCAGCCCCGUGAAGGGAGAGCACAUUGCUUCUCCCAUCCCCCAACACGGGCACCUGGUGACUUGCCGGGAGGAAGUACCAUCUCAACACGGCGAGUAGAGCUGCUGCAGCUCCAGCAUGCAUAACCAGGUGGUUUGAUCACAGGGAUUAAUCCUCUGUCACCACUGACUUUCAGGCUGGCCUGGAGGGUUGGCAGGGCAUGGAGGGCCCACUCAGGCCUUGCGAGGUGCUCCCCUCUCCUCACUCUAUCACAGGGACCCAUGCUCAAACUGCCAAGGUGCAACAUCGACAGGCGCUGGCUCUGGGAAUGCCUCGGCUCCUUCUGGAGAUGGAGCAGAGUCACUGGGCUGAGUGGAGUCUCUCUUCUCUGUGUCUGCACAAGAGGGCAUGGGGACAGUGUAGACUGUUCUCUGUGUCUGCACAAGAGGGGGUGGGGAGAGUGGAGACCCUGUUCUCUGUGUCUGCACAAGAGGGGAUGGGGAGAGUGGAGACCCUGUUCUCUGUGUCUGCACAAGAGGGAUGGGGACAGUGUAGACCCUGUUCUCUGUGUCUGCACAAGAGGGCGUGGGGACAGUGUAGACUCUGUUCUGUCUACACAAGAGGGUGUGGGCUGCAGCUGGGUCUCUGGGCAAUCAAUGUCUGGCCUCCGGGACUCGGAGCUCCCUGUCUGGGGCUGGUUAUUGCUAAGGCUUCUACGCUCACACUGAGGACCACACAGACCCUUUGUGUGAUUCAGAUGCCUGAGUGGGAGGGGUGUGUAGCUCCAGUGGGCUCACCCUGGUAUUAAUCUCCUUGGCAAAGGGAGAUCACCAGCCCACAUGAACAUACCCUCCCAAUGCUGACAAUGGAGGAAAUCUAUGACGCCCAACUUGGGUGUCACCUUGACAUUUGCACCACCCUGAAGCACUGACCGGAGCUCCCUGGCCCCACCCAGCACACACCUCUGAAUGCUCACUGGAGGAGCAGACACACCACUAAGCUACAGAGGCAUAUUUAAGAGAAAAAGCCAUCAGAGGAGAAAACCAACAAGUUUUUCCACAAAUGACUAAAAAUAAGUGUAGAAAUUCAGAAACAUCAAGAAGGAAGACAAUGUUACUCCCUCAAAGUAACAACUCUGCAAUAUUAGAAUGUGAAGACAAAGGCAUUGCUGAAAUGCCUGAAAAAGGAAUUCAAAAGAAGGAUCCUAAGAUUCAUGGUGAGAAGCAAAUACAUAGUUAAAAAAAUCCAUACAUGACACGGAUCAAAAGAGAAAUCAAGCUGAAAUACUACAAAUCGAAAAUUCCAUAAGUCAAACAAGAAAUAUAGCUGAGAGCCUUAAGAACAGAAUUAGUGAGGAAGAAGCAAGAAUAUCUGAGCCAGAAGACAAAUUACUGGAAAUAUAUCAGUCAGACCAAAAAAAAAAAAAAAAACGAAGAAAUUAGAAGAAAAUAGUGUUCCAGAUUUAUGGGAAACUAUCGAACAACCUAACAUACGCAUCUUAGAAGGUUCUGAAGGUGUGGGAGGAAGAACAGAUUAGAAAUCCUAUUCAGUGAAGUAAGAGUAGAAAAUUUCCCUAAUUUAGACAAAGAAAGGGACAUCCAAGUACACUAUGACACAGUACAGUACAAACUUUCAACAGUAAAACAUAAAGAAAGGAAUCUACACUGUGUAUGAGAGAGACACCAGAUUAUUUCAGAGGAUCUCCAACUAGACACCCAGCUGACUUCUCAGAAAUUCUACAUGCUAAGACAGAAUGGAGAGACAUAAUCUAAGUUUUAAGAGAAACACACUUAACCCAGAGUAUUCUACCCUGAGAAGCUCUCAAUUAUGAAAGAAGGUGAACUAAAGACCUUCCAUAAAAAACAAAAAUUGAAAUAAUUUGUCACCACUCGUUUGGCCUUUCGAAAGAUGCUUAAGGAUGUGCUACACACAGAAGCAGAGAAAGUCCUCAUCUACCAGCACAAGUACAAAGGAAAUUCAAAGUAAACAAUAGGAAUGCUUAUGGAAAAAUGGCAGGGACAUGUCAUUACUUAUCAAUAGUAACUUUCAUGUAAAUGAUCUAAACUCUCCAGUUAAAAGAUACAAUCUGGCUGAAUGUAUUUAAAAGCAAGACACAGUUAUUUCCUGCCUUCAAGAAAUACAUUUCACAUCUCACCAACAAAGACACAUACAGACUGAAAGUAAAAGGAUGGAAAAAGAUAUUCCAGGCUGAUGGAGAGCAAAAAUGAACAUGUGUAGCCAUCCACCUAUCAGACAAAAUAGACUUUAACACAAAAUCUGUUAAAAGAGAACAUGAUUAAGUAACCAAUUCAACGGGAAGGUUUGAAUAUAAUAAAAGCCUAAGCACCUAAUGCCA